GACUGCGAUCGCAAGGGUUGUUAAUAACCUGUCAGCAGCUUCCGGGAAACCCAAAGUGUUUGUAGCCCAGGGGGAGUAUGGUCGCAAAGCUGAAACUUAAAGAAAUUGACGGAAGGGCACCACCAGGCGUGGAGCCUGCGGCUUUAAUUUGACUCAACACGGGACAACUUCCCCGGCCCGGACACAGGAAUGAUUGACAGAUUGAGAGCUCUUUCUUGAUUCUGUGGGUGGUGGUGCAUGGCCGUUCUUAGUCGGUGGAGUGAUUUGUCUGGUUAAUUCCGAUAACGGACGAGACUCUGACAUGCUAACUAGUUUCGCUUGCCCUUGGUCAGGUGGGAACUUCUUAGAUGGAUUGGCGCUUUUUUUCAAUGCGCAUGAAAUAGAGCUAUAACAGGUCUGUGAUGCCCUUAGAUGUUCGGGACCGCACGCGCGCUACAAUGAAUUAGUCAAUAGGAUUUAGCUGAGGCGAAAGCUUGUCGCAAGACAUUUCGGCGAAUCGAACAAACUAGUUCAUGCUUGGGAUAGUUGCUUGUAAUUCUUCAACUUGAACGAGGAAUGCCCUAGUAAUGAUGAGUCAUCAGCUCAUCGUGAUUACGUCCCUGCCCUUUGUACACACCGCCCGUCGCUAGUACCGACUAGUUGGUUUAGUGAGUCGCUUGGAUUUAUAGUAGGGAAGGGCGCAAGUCCGGAACUGCAGUGAAGAAGAAUGGCAAACU
rnacentral:rRNA from 1 species